UCCCUGGAGGAGUAGUGGUUAGGCCGUGGUGCUCUCAACGCCGCGGCCUGGGUUCGAUUCCCAGCCAGUGAA